UGCCUAACACAUGCAAGUCGAACGAGACCUUCGGGUCUAGUGGCGCACGGGUGCGUAACGCGUGGGAAUCUGCCCUUGGGUUCGGAAUAACUCGCCGAAAGGCGUGCUAAUACCGGAUGAUGUCGUAAGACCAAAGAUUUAUCGCCCAGGGAUGAGCCCGCGUAAGAUUAGCUAGUUGGUGAGGUAAAGGCUCACCAAGGCGACGAUCUUUAGCUGGUCUGAGAGGAUGAUCAGCCACACUGGGACUGAGACACGGCCCAGACUCCUACGGGAGGCAGCAGUGGGGAAUAUUGGGCGAUGGGCGAAAGCCUGAUCCAGCAAUGCCGCGUGAGGAUAAAGGCCUUAGGGUUGUAAAGCUC
rnacentral:rRNA from 1 species